ACCUGAGCAGGGGCAGGUGACAGACAGACACACUUUUCAGAUCUUGGCAACCUAUGUGAAGACACCACUAAGAACGCCUCCUGCUCCUCACCCCACAGCACACCACUGCUCAGGGCAGGACCCUGUGCUCAGGACAGUGCCAUGCUCCGAGACUUGAGGAGUGACAUCACUUCAGAACAUGGAGCCUGUAGAUGAGUGGGAAACAGACCAGUUCUGUCUGAGGACUCGGCCCUAUGCACUGUCCACUGCCAGCCUUCAGGAGCCUACGGGAUGAAGGACAGCUAUGGACUGCACAUGCUCAGCACUACUGAGACGAACAUGGGUGGCCCCGGGUGCGAAUUACGCCGGACCCAGUCCCUGCUGGAAAAGACCAAGUUCUUGCUCCUCAUGGCUCCGGGCCAAGGUGAUGAGCUGUGUGUGCCUGGGGCUGUUUCUCAAUGGGGAUGGUGUGGGGAACAUGGUUCUGGUCAGCCAGCAGCAGGCACACCCUCAGUUGGUGAAGGCCGCCAUGCUGCACACUGACCUAGCUGGCGCCGAGUUGCUGACUGAGAAAGACUACAGAAGCAGGGAGGACAGAGCUGAGCCUCAGAGCCCAGCAGGCUCACGGAAACGGUCACUUGGCAGGCCACAGGGAGCGGAGGACGCAGCUUUAAGACCUCACACAGCUCCAGAGGCAGCUGCAAAGCGGCCCAACUCCUGCCGGGCAAAAUCUGAGUUCUCAGUGAAACUGUCCGACUCUGGAAUAUUCGCAGUUAUUGCAGCCACUUUAGACCCCAACACUUUCCUUCCCACUUAAGCAGCUACUUCAUUCUGAGAAAGAAAGCCAGGCAGCUGGGGGCACAAGUGGCCACGCUGUCAAACCCAGCUGCCAACCACAGCUGCAGAAUUAACAGCUGUUUUGUUUGGUUUUGAGUUUAAGCAUCCUUCCCAGGGCCUGAUGCACUGAGAUCACGCCAUACUUGACAGGCUCCCUAGAGGGAAGAGGCAGAUGAGGUGAGGGCCCCCCCCCCAUACACACACACCCAUUCCUCCCGGGCCCCAGCCUCACCUUGUGCGUUCUUCCCCAGGCCCCGCCCGGGGACAUAGCCCAUCUUCUGCAGCAGCUUCUGCCCGAUCCCCUUUGUGUGCCGCUCCCAGCUGCCAAAGUCCAUGAAGGACUUGGUGCCUCCGGCAAAGCCUUUCUGGCUGGGCUUAAAAUUGCCGCCCUGCGAAGAAGGCAAGAUGAGCGAGGGUGAGAGAGAAACAGAAUACGAGGGACUCGGGCCAACGGGAGAACAACCUGCAGCUACAGUACAUUACGAAAAGCUGUCUGUGAGCCAACACCACGUCGGGACACAGGCAGGAAAGAGGCUCAGGACCCACGGGGGCAGCACAGCACACACACGGGUGCCCGCCGGGCUUCUCCCUGAGGAAGCCUCUGCACUGGUGACCCCUGAUGGGUGCCACCUGGAGACUACCCUGAAAGACCUACCGUCUUUAACUUCUUUGGUCCCAAAUCUUUCGGAAACUCCUCCUGCUUUGUGGGCUUCUCAUCAUCAUCAGAGUCCUCAGAGUCCACUUCCUCAGCCGCCCCUUUCUUGAGCCCUGCGCUGAUGAAGUUGACGGGUGCAGAAUAGUCUCGAGCCCUGCAGACAGACACAAAUCCCCCAAGUCUAUAAAGAACACCUCUGCAGCAUGCUGUCCUAGGAACUGCUCAGAAGAGAACUCCUUAGAGAGAGGGCCUUCAUGGGAUCCACUUUAAAGCAUAGUAUGUUUACUUAUGUCCACACACCAAAAGGGACUCAAAACUGGCCUCCAGCAAUCUCACGUUUAACAUUUUAAAAAACAGUAUCUCUGUGUGUGGUUACACACAUGACUGUGUGAGUGUCCAAGGAGCCAAAAGCAUAGAUCCCCUGAAGCUGGCAGUUGUGAGCUGAUGGGCUGGGGACAAACUCAGGUCUGCAAGAGCAGGAUUCGAUCUUAACUGCUGAGUCAUCUUCCAGCCCACAUUUAACAUUUAUGGGGUCUGUUCAAUUUGAAUCUGUAGCUGAGGAUUUGUCAUUAUCAAUAGUUGAUUAUGAAUUCAAAAUAAGAUGUAAUAAUGUUACUCCCCUUUGACACUUUUAACAUGGUAUUACCGUUGUGUUUAUGAUGGGGCCUAUGGGCCUGGACAAGCAUGUGACCUGUCA